AGAGGCGAAGAGGAGGCAGCCAAAGGAGCAGCUCUCCUCUCCUCUCCCUCCUCAUCUUCAUCCCAGAGAAGACAGAUGAAGAAGACCUCACUCCUCCUCCUCCUCCUCCUCCGUUCAUCCCGGCAACUCAAUUUUUUUUUCUUUUUCCCACAAGUUCAAACCAAGACGUCUGCUGUGAGGUCAAGAGAACAUGACGUGCCCUGAAGCUCUCGCAGGGACUGAAGACUGAACACAGAGGAUCCUUCAGGAGUCGAUGCGGAGACGUGAACCAACAACCACCGACAUGAGGAUUUGAGUGUUUCGGAAACCACAAAUAAGUGCAAAUAACACACACCUACAUAAACCAACAUUAUACUUCCUUUAGUAUCGAAUAAAACAAAUUCAAAUCAGUCCCAUAUCUUCUCUCUUUGACAAGCCUCUGCUUUAUACUCAGUCAAAGAUAACCAGAUAAAUAACACAAUGU